rnacentral:rRNA from 1 species
GAUGAACGCUGGCGGCGUGCCUAAUACAUGCAAGUCGAGCGAACAGAUGAGGAGCUUGCUCCUCUGACGUUAGCGGCGGACGGGUGAGUAACACGUGGAUAACCUACCUAUAAAACUGGGAUAACUUCGGGAAACCGGAGCUAAUACCGGAUAAUAUAUUGAACCGCAUGGUUCAAUAGUGAAAGACGGUUUUGCUGUCACUUAUAGAUGGAUCCGCGCCGCAUUAGCUAGUUGGUAAGGUAACGGCUUACCAAGGCAACGAUGCGUAGCCGACCUGAGAGGGUGAUCGGACACACUGGAACUGAGACACGGUCCAGACUCCUACGGGAGGCAGCAGUAGGGAAUCUUCCGCAAUGGGCGAAAGCCUGACGGAGCAACGCCGCGUGAGUGAUGAAGGUCUUCGGAUCGUAAAACUCUGUUAUUAGGGAAGAACAAAUGUGUAAGUAACUAUGCACGUCUUGACGGUACCUAAUCAGAAAGCCACGGCUAACUACGUG